AGAGUUUGAUCCUGGCUCAGGACGAACGCUGGCGGCGCGCCUAACACAUGCAAGUCGAACGAGCGAGAGAGAGCUUGCUUUCUCGAGCGAGUGGCGAACGGGUGAGUAACGCGUGAGGAACCUGCCUCAAANAGGGGGGACAACAGUUGGAAACGACUGCUAAUACCGCAUAAGCCCACAGCUCGGCAUCGAGCAGAGGGAAAAGGAGCAAUCCGCUUUGAGAUGGCCUCGCGUCCGAUUAGCUAGUUGGUGAGGUAAUGGCCCACCAAGGCAACGAUCGGUAGCCGGACUGAGAGGUUGAACGGCCACAUUGGGACUGAGACACGGCCCAGACUCCUACGGGAGGCAGCA
rnacentral:rRNA from 1 species